rnacentral:rRNA from 1 species
GUCGCUGACGAGUGGCGCACGGGUGAGUAACGCGUGGGUUACCUGCCCAUAAGUGGGGAACAACUUGGAGAAAUCCAAGCUAAUACCGCAUAAUACCUUCGGGUUAAAGAGGGGGAUCUUCGGACCUCUCGCUUAUGGAUGGUCCCGCGUCUGAUUAGCUAGUUGGUAGGGUAAUGGCCUACCAAGGCAAUGAUCAAUAGCUGGUCUGAGAGGAUGAUCAGUCACACUGGAACUGAGACACGGUCCAGACUCCUACGGGAGGCAGCAGUGGGGAAUUUUGCACCAUGGGCGAAAGCCUGAUGCAGCGACGCCGCGUGCGGGAAGAAGGCCUUCGGGUUGUAAACCGCUUUCAACAGGGAAGAAAGAAUGAGAGCUAAUACCUCUCUGCCUUGACGGUACCUGUAGAAGAAGCACCGGCUAAUUUCGUGCCAGCAGCCGCGGUAAUACGAAAGGUGCAAGCGUUGUUCGGAUUUACUGGGCGUAAAGAGAUCGUAGGUGGCUUGUUAAGUCGGAUGUGAAAUCCCGGGGCUCAACCCCGGAACUGCAUCCGAUACUGGCAGGCUUGAGUUUGGGAGGGGUAAGCGGAAUUCCGUGUGUAGCAGUGAAAUGCGUAGAUAUACGGAGGAACACCUGAGGCGAAAGCGGCUUACUGGACCAAUACUGACACUGAGGAUCGAAAGCGUGGGUAGCAAACAGGAUUAGAUACCCUGGCAGUCCACGCCCUAACGAUGUCAACUAGCCGUUGCGGGUAUCGACCCUGCAGUGCGCAGCUA